GAUGAACGCUGGCGGCAUGCUUUACACAUGCAAGUCGGACGGGAAGUGGUGUUUCCAGUGGCGGACGGGUGAGCAACGCGUAAGAACCUGCCCUUGGGAGGGGAACAACAGCUGGAAACGGCUGCUAAUACCCCGUAGUCUGAGUAGCGAAAGGAGGAAUCCGCCCAUGGAUGGGCUCGCGUUUGAUUAGCUAGUUGGUGAGGUAAUAGCUUACCAAGGCGGUGAUCAGUAGCUGGUACGAGAGGAUGAUCAGCCAGACUGGGACUGAGACAAGGCCCGGGGACCUUCGGAAGACGGCAGUAGGGAAGUUUCCGCAAUGGGCGAAAGCCUAAGGGGGCAUUGGCGCGUGAAAGUAAAAUGGCUGCGAAUCAUGAGCUUCAGUUCCUGGAGAAGAAACAAUGACGGUAUCUAAAGAAUAAGCAUCGGCUAACUCUGUG
rnacentral:rRNA from 1 species